AUUGAACGCUGGCGGCAUGCCUUACACAUGCAAGUCGAACGGCAGCGCGGGGCGAACCCUGGCGGCGAGUGGCGAACGGGUGAGUAAUAUAUCGGAACGUACCCAAGAGUGGGGAGUAACGUAGCGAAAGUUACGCUAAUACCGCAUACGAUCUAAGGAUGAAAGCAGGGGACCGGCCAAGGCCUUGUGCUCCUGGAGCGGCCGAUAUCUGAUUAGCUAGUUGGUGGGGUAAAGGCCUACCAAGGCAUCGAUCAGUAGCUGGUCUGAGAGGACGACCAGCCACACUGGGACUGAGACACGGCCCAGACUCCUACGGGAGGCAGCAGUGGGGAGUUUUGGACAAUGGGGGCGAACCCUGAUCCAGCAAUGCCGCGUGAGUGAAGAAGGCCUUCGGUC
rnacentral:rRNA from 1 species